GAAAAAGUGCGAAGUAUGCGCAAUGUCCUUACUUCUAUACUUGAGAUUGGUGUUGCAUGUUCAGAAGAAUCACCAAGAGAACGAAUGAACUCAUGCGAUGUUGUUAAGGAACUACACCCAAUCAAGCUUGCUGACUGAAAAUGGGAAGAAAUAAGUGCAUAAGGUAACAGCCUAUGUUACAAAAUAAUAAGUGCUUCGCUAAGUUUUUCCCGACUUUGUAAAAGAUCCACAAGCAAGUCUGAUUACAUUGCCCAAAGCUUGUGUUGACAGUGAAAUAGUUCAGGAAUCUGAAAGAACAGAAUAACCUCAGACAACGGGCUAGCAUUGCAGAUUCUUUCUUAACUCAUCCUUCACACCGGAUGCAGGAAUUGUGUAGCUUAAUAUGAAAC
rnacentral:lncRNA from 1 species